rnacentral:lncRNA from 1 species
GCCUAACAUCAACUCUCCUUGGUCUGUCUUUAGCAAUACUACGUUUUUCAGACCUAAUACGUUGAUUUCCAGAAUUGGAAGAUUGAGGCUGCUCAUCAGACAUCGAUUGCUCGCUCUCUUCCUGAGGAUCGAUCGAUCUCGUGUAGUCGGACAUCGAUCAGAGAUCUUUACCAUCGCCCAAUCCUGUGUCUGGCGUAGAUCGAUCACUCCCUGACACUGGAUCGGUUGAUCCUGGGUAGUCUGACUGCACUUCCUGCAGCUCCACUUGCUUGUCAACAUCCUCCUGCUCUGCUUCUGAAAUGGACUCAGCUGAAACUUUGAACAUAGAACUCUCAUCAAACACAACGUUCCUGCUCAUAACAACCCAUUUCUCAGAUGG